rnacentral:rRNA from 1 species
UACGGAGGGGGCUAGCGUUGUUCGGAAUUACUGGGCGUAAAGCGCACGUAGGCGGCUUUGUAAGUUAGAGGUGAAAGCCCGGAGCUUAACUCCGGAAUUGCCUUUGAGACUGCAUCGCUUGAAUCCGGGAGAGGUGAGUGGAAUUCCGAGUGUAGAGGUGAAAUUCGUAGAUAUUCGGAAGAACACCAGUGGCGAAGGCGGCUCACUGGACCGGUAUUGACGCUGAGGUGCGAAAGCGUGGGGAGCAAACAGG